ensembl:lncRNA
CUUACACUUAUUUCAUUGCCUACCAAAUACACUUCAACUUUACGAUGAUGUAUAUUAAAACAGUAAUACAUCUGAAUUGUGUGUAUGUCAUAAUCUGAAUCGGUUAUUUUUGUAAUUUAGUUUCCAUUCUCCACCUGUCCACAAGAUGUCCUUAGACCUUUCCCCUCACUUUACAGAUCCUGCCCUCCCAGUUCUCGUCUGCAUUUGGAUCCGAUCCCAUUCUGCUCCUGCUGCCCUGCCAGCACUUCUGUCACAGUGAUGACAGAACUAACCGAUCACAACCAUGGUUCAAGCAUACGGAUUAAU